rnacentral:lncRNA from 1 species
GCAACGUCCAAGGUCCUCUUGUUUUGCAGAUCACUGCACAACAGACCCUCAGGUAGAACAAGUUUAGAUAGUGACUCUUAACCAAAGUACAAGUUAGCAUCACCUGGAAGACUUUACUAACCAUGGUUGGCUGAGAGUCUGUGGGAGCAGAAGAGGAAACUGAGGCUUUAGAGAACUGUAGCACAUUGGCAAGGACAUCCAGCUCAUAAACAAUCCAUCAGAAAAGUGAGGUCACUGAGCAACCCACCACCCAAAACCUGGACAGACAGAGAAAUACAGAAGCAUGGCUUACAGAGAGCAGAAGCAGCUGCUGGAGCCACCAUCUGGUAGAAACACUUCAGGGAUGAGAAAACAGUGACCUGGAGACAGUUAUUUCACCAACACCCUCAGCCUUCAGCAUGAGAACAGGGACAUCAGCCUGCUUUGCCCAUGGAACUGUCUCCAGAGCCUACAACAAUGCUCAGCCUAUGAGAGGUGUCUCCUAGAAGACUUUCCAUUUCAACAAGCCUCAUUUAUAUGCAACUGGCAAUUUCUCUAAACAGAAGAAAAGGGGAGAUUUUGCCAAUCAAUUGGCUUCACCAUCCCCCAGCCCCAAAGUGUGUUUAAGAACAUUUGCCUGUGCAUGCAUGUGUUUUCCUUUGCAUCCCACAAGAGGAAG